GACGAACGCUGGCGGCGUGCUUAACACAUGCAAGUCGAACGGAAAGGCCCUGCUUUUGUGGGGUGCUCGAGUGGCGAACGGGUGAGUAACACGUGAGUAACCUGCCCUUGACUUUGGGAUAACUUCAGGAAACUGGGGCUAAUACCGGAUAGGAGCUCCUGCUGCAUGGUGGGGGUUGGAAAGUUUCGGCGGUUGGGGAUGGACUCGCGGCUUAUCAGCUUGUUGGUGGGGUAGUGGCUGACCAAGGCUUUGACGGGUAGCCGGCCUGAGAGGGUGACCGGCCACAUUGGGACUGAGAUACGGCCCAGACUGCUACGGGAGGCAGCAGGGGGGAAUAUUGCACAAUGGGCGGAAGCCUGAUGCAGAGACGCCGCGUGCGGGAUGACGGCCUUCGGGUUGUAAACAGCUUUCGCCUGUGACGAAGCGUGAGUGACGGUAAUGGGUAAAGAAGCACCGGCUAACUACGUG
rnacentral:rRNA from 1 species